rnacentral:rRNA from 1 species
UCGCGCCUACGGGACGCAGCAGUGAGGAAUAUUGGUCAAUGGGCGGGAGCCUGAACCAGCCACGUCGCGUGAGAGAAGACGGUCCUAUGGAUUGUAAACCUCUUUUGUCGGGGAGCAAAGAGGCCACGUGUGGUCAAAAGCGAGAGUACCCGAAGAAAAAGCAUCGGCUAACUCCGUGCGAGCAGCCGCGGUAAUACGGAGGAUGCGAGCGUUAUCCGGAUUUAUUGGGUUUAAAGGGUGCGUAGGCGGGACGGUAAGUCAGCGGUAAAAAUGCGG